rnacentral:misc_RNA from 1 species
AGCAGCCGCGGUAAUUCCAGCUCCAAUAGCGUAUAUUAAAGUUGUUGCAGUUAAAAGCUCGUAGUUGAACUUCAGGCCUGUCCAGAUGGUCCGCCUUAAUUGGUGUGUACUGUCCUUGGGUGGGUCCUACCUCCUGGCGAAGCGGCAUGGCCUUAAUUGGUUGUGUUGGGGAACCAGGACUUUUACUGUGAAAAAUUGAGUGUUCAAAGCAGGCAAAUAUGCUCGAAUACAUUAGCAUGGAAUAAUGGAAUAGGACGAUGGUUCUAUUUUGUUGGUUCUAGGACCGUUGUAAUGAUUAAUAGGGAUAGUUGGGGGCAUUAGUAUUCAAUUGUCAGAGGUGAAAUUCUUGGAUUUAUUGAAGACUAACUACUGCGAAAGCAUUUGCCAAGGAUGUUUUCAUUAAUCAAGAACGAAAGUUAGGGAUCGAAGACGAUUAGAUACCGUCGUAGU